CAAUAGCGUAUAUUAAAGUUGUUGCAGUUAAAAGCUCGUAGUUGGAUUUCUGGUGGAGAAGCUCCGCCCUCACGCGAGUGCGCGGAGGCUCUCUACCAUCCUUCUGUUAACCCUCGUGGUCCUUUAUUGGAUGCUUGGGAGCCCAGAUAUUUUACCUUGAGAAAAUUAGAGUGUUUCAGGCAGGCUUUCGCCGGAAUACAUUAGCAUGGAAUAAUGGAAAAGGACUUCAACCUCUUCUGUUGGUCUGAGAGGCUGUAGUAAUGAUUAAUAGGGAUAGUUGGGGGCAUUAGUACUUAACUGUCAGAGGUGAAAUUCUCCGAUUUGUUAAAGACUAACUUAUGCGAAAGCAUUUGCCAAGGAUGUUUUCAUUAAUCAAGAACGAAAGUUAGGGGAUCAAAGACGAUCAGAUACCA
rnacentral:rRNA from 1 species